AUUGAACGCUGGCGGCAGGCUUAACACAUGCAAGUCGAGCGAGCGGCGGACGGGUGAGUAAUGUCUGGGAAACUGCCUGAUGGAGGGGGAUAACUACUGGGAACGGUAGCUAAUACCGCAUACCCGCAGAUGUGCCCAGAUGGGAUUAGAGAGUAUGUGGGGUGAUGGGUCACCUAGGCGACGAUCCCUCGCUGGUCUGAGAGGAUGACCAGCCACAUUGGAACUCAGCCACGGGCCAGACUCCUACGGUAGGCAGCAGUGUGGUAUAUCGCACAAUGGGCGCAAGCCUGAUGCAGCCAUGCCGCGUGGGUGAAGAAGGCCUUCGGGUUGUAAAGCACUUUCAGCGAGGAGGCGGUACUCGAAGAAGAAGCACCGGCUAACUCCGUGCAAGCCGCCGCGGUAAUUC
rnacentral:rRNA from 1 species